rnacentral:lncRNA from 1 species
ACUCCAGCAACCCAUCAUCUACUUACUACUCCCUAAUGCCUUCCUUUAGUCCCAAAUAUGGUGAAGUGUUAUGUACUUGACGUUCACAUAACACCACUAGAGGAAAAGACAACAUACAGCAUAUCAAAAUACCGAACGAAUAUCAAAUUCACAUGACUAUUAUUAACAUGGCUUAUCCCAUGUCCUCAGCAACAAAAGUAACUGCUCACAAAACAUAAUCAUAAUCAUGAUCAGAGGUGUAAUGAAUAGCAUCAAGGAUCUGAACAUAAACUCUUCCACCAAGUAAUCCAACUAGCAUCAACUAUAAAGAGUAAUCAACACUACUAGCAACCUUACAAGUACCAAUCGGAGUAGCGAGACGAAGAUUGGUCACAAGAGAUGAACUAGGGAUUGGAGAGGAGAUGGUGCCGAUGAAGAUGUUGAUGAAGAUGCAUCCCCUCCGACGAGAGGAGUGUUGGUGAUGACGAUGGCGACGAUCUCCCCCUCCGAGAGAGAAGUUUCCCCGGCAGGAUCGUCCUGCCGGAGCUAUAGUUUGGAUCUGCUCAAGUUCCGCCUCGUGGUGGCGGCGAAACCACGAAAAAGCUCCCCCUUUGAUUUUUUCUGGACCAGGACGCUUCAUAUAGCAAAAGAG